UGGGGAAUUUUGGACAAUGGGCGAAAGCCUGAUCCAGCAAUGCCGCGUGUGUGAAGAAGGCCUUCGGGUUGUAAAGCACUUUUGUCCGGAAAGAAAUCCUUGGCUCUAAUACAGUCGGGGGAUGACGGUACCGGAAGAAUAAGCACCGGCUAACUACGUGCCAGCAGCCGCGGUAAUACGUAGGGUGCAAGCGUUAAUCGGAAUUACUGGGCGUAAAGCGUGCGCAGGCGGUUUGCUAAGACCGAUGUGAAAUCCCCGGGCUCAACCUGGGAACUGCAUUGGUGACUGGCAGGCUAGAGUAUGGCAGAGGGGGGUAGAAUUCCACGUGUAGCAGUGAAAUGCGUAGAGAUGUGGAGGAAUACCGAUGGCGAAGGCAGCCCCCUGGGCCAAUACUGACGCUCAUGCACGAAAGCGUGGGGAGCAAACAGGAUUAGAUACCCUGGUAGUCCACGCCCUAAACGAUGUCAACUAGUUGUUGGGGAUUCAUUCCCUUAGUAACGUAGCUAACGCGUGAAGUUGGCCGCCUGGGGAGUACGGUCGCAAGAUUAAAACUUAAAUGAAUUGACGGGGUCAUAGCUGUUUCCU
rnacentral:rRNA from 1 species